rnacentral:rRNA from 1 species
AUUGAACGCUGGCGACAUGCCUUACACAUGCAAGUCGAACGGCAGCACGGGUGCUUGCACCUGGUGGCGAGUGGCGAACGGGUGAGUAAUACAUCGGAACAUGUCCUGCAGUGGGGGAUAGCCCGGCGAAAGCCGGAUUAAUACCGCAUACGAUCUACGGAUGAAAGCGGGGGACCUUCGGGCCUCGCGCUAUAGGGUUGGCCGAUGGCUGAUUAGCUAGUUGGUGGGGUAAAGGCCUACCAAGGCGACGAUCAGUAGCUGGUCUGAGAGGACGACCAGUCACACUGGGACUGAGACACGGCCCAGACUCCUACGGGAGGCAGCAGUGGGGAAUUUUGGACAAUGGGCGAAAGCCUGAUCCAGCAAUGCCGCGUGUGUGAAGAAGGCCUUCGGGUUGUAAAGCACUUUUGUCCGGAAAGAAAUCCUUGGCCCUAAUACGGUCGGGGGAUGACGGUACCGGAAGAAUAAGCACCGGCUAACUACGUG